GCGCGUGUAGCUCAGUUGGUUAGAGCACUUCACUGAUAAUUAAGAGGUCGGAGGUUCAAGUCCCCCCACGCGCA
rnacentral:tRNA from 1 species